GACGUAGGGCGCGAGCGUUGUCCGGAUUUAUUGGGCGUAAAGAGCUCGUAGGCGGCUUGUUGCGUCGGCUGUGAAAUCCCAUGGCUCAACUGUGGGCUUGCAGCCGAUACGGGCGGGCUAGAGUUCGGUAGGGGAGACUGGAAUUCCUGGUGUAGCGGUGAAAUGCGCAGAUAUCAGGAAGAACACCCGUGGCGAAGGCGGCUCUCUGGGACGGUACUGACGCUGAGACGCGAAAGCGUGGGGAGCGAACAGG
rnacentral:rRNA from 1 species